UCUUAAUUCCUCAGUCCAUCAGUUGCUCGCCGUCUCUGCUCCGUCUGCUCCAUGUCUCUGCUUUUCUACAGAGAUUUAGCAUUCUUUUUGUUCCGUCAACAUACACUUCAAGUGUCUGGAGCUGUAUUACUCUACAAACAAGACUAUAGUGAGACUUGACUAUGUUUCUGACAAGCAAUGUCCACCCGCGUUCUUCUGCACGUGAGUGCGUUUUCUCUAUCCCAAGUGAACUCCCAACGUCUCUUUUCCGUGGAGUAUGCUGUAAAGUCAGGGGCGGAUCCAGCCUUUUGGUACCGGGUUCAUCUGAACCCAGUACUAUCGACGUGGAGCACAAAUUUAUGUUAAAUUAUAACAAAUAGUAGUUAUGAAUCCACAACUUUAAAAAUAUAAUCGGUUCAAGGCUAAAAAUCUUAAAAAUUGAACCCAUAGAAUUUAAAUCCUAGAUCCGCCUCUGUGUAAAGUUGUUGAAAAAGUUAGUUGAUGAUGGAACUUCAAGUUGGGAAAAGCUGUUCAUGCACUUCUUGUUGUUUCUAGUAAUGUCUCAGAAGACCACAUAAUUCAGAAUAAUUGUCUCAUUAAUCUCUACUCGAGGUGUGGACAACUUGCUGUUGCUCGGCAGGUGUUUGACAGAUUGAGUCAACGAAAUGUAGUUUCUUGGAGCUUUUUAAUGGCAGGGUAUUUGCACAAUGGGUAUGCUUGGGAAGUAACCAAAUUGUUCAAAGACAUGAUUUCAGUGGAUAAAAUAUUCCCAAAUGAGUAUGUCUUGUCUACCGUACUUUCUUCUUGUUCUAGCGGUGGUUUGCUACACGAAGGGCGGCAGUGUCAUGCGUUAGUGUUGAAAGCAGGAUUGGUCUUUCAUCAAUAUGUGAAGAAUGCUCUUCUAUCCUUGUAUACAGUGUCUUCAGAUAUGGAAGGGGUUUUGGAAAUCUUGAAGUCUGUUCCUGGAUUAGACAUCAUUACUUAUAAUUCUAUACUGAAGGGGUUCUUGGAUCAUGGGUAUACAAGUGAAGCGUUGGAUGUUUUCUCAAGGAUGUUGGCUGACGGCUCGGCGGGGGAUAGUGUCAGUUACGUGAACAUAUUUGGUCUUUGUGCUCGCUUCAAGGAUUUGAAGUUGGGUAAGCAAGUUCACUGCAGAAUGCUGAAGUCUGGUCUUCAGCUUGAUGUGUUUCUAAGCAGUGCAAUCAUGGACAUGUACGGAAAGUGUGGUGAAAUUUCAGGUGCAAGAUAUAUUUUUGAUUCUUAAGCGAACCAUAAUGUGGUGUCUUGGACGACAAUCUUGGCUGCAAAUUUCCAAAAUGAAUGCUUUGAGGAAGCCCUGAAACUGUUCUUACGAAUGGAACUUCAGGAUAUUAUUCCAAAUGAAUACACAUUCGCAGUGUUGUUGAAUUCCUGUGCAGGUCUAUCAGCACUUGGUUACGGGAAAACAUUACAUGCACGUGUCGAGAAGACAGGAUAUGGUUUUUUUGUUGUAGUUGGAAAUGCUUUGAUCAAUAUGUAUUUUAGGAAUGGCCAUAUUGAAGCCACUAGGGCCUUGUUUUCAAACAUGAUAUGUCGAGAUACUGUUACUUGGAAUAUGAUAAUAUCAGGUUUCUCUCAUCAUGGGCUUGGUGAGGAAGCAUUGGAUGUGUUUCAGCAUAUGUUAGCUGCCAAAGAGCAACCAAACUAUGUAACCUUUGUCGGGGUUAUUUUGGCUUGUGGACAUUUGGGUAGGAUAGAAGAAGGAUUUUACUACUUGCAGCAUCUAAUGAGGGACAUCGGCCUUGAACCUGGGUUAGAGCACUAUACCUGUGUUGUUGGGCUCCUAGGUAAAGCUGGAACACUUGAUGAGGCUGAGAAUUUCAUGAGGUCGACGCCAAUCACAUGGGAUGUUGUUGCCUGGCGUACUUUGCUUAAUGCUUGUAACGUCCACCGCAAUUAUGGUUUAGGAAAGAGAGUAGCAGAGCAUUUGUUGCAACUGAACCCCAACGACGUGGGAACUUAUAUCCUGUUGUCCAAUAUGCAUGCCAAGGUGAAAAGGUGGGAUGGAGUAGCAAAGAUACGGAAGCUAUUAAGAGAAAGGAACAUAAAGAAAGAACCUGGAUUGAGCUGGACUGAAAUAAGAAAUGAAACUCAUGUGCUUGUUUCUGAUGACACUCAACUCCCAGAGACGGCUCAAAUCCAUGAGAAGGUGAGAAAAUUGUUGGCUGAAAUAAAACCAUUGGGUUAUGUUCCGGACAUAGCUUCUGUCUUGCAUGACGUUGAGCAAGAACAACAAGAGGGUUAUCUGAGUUACCACAGCGAAAAGCUGGCUGUAGCAUAUGCUCUCAUGAAAACACCAUCCCAAGCGCCAAUUCAUGUUAUUAAGAAUCUCAGAAUAUGUGAUGAUUGCCAUUCUGCUUUGAAGCUUAUCUCUAAGGUCACAAUGAGAACGAUAGUUGUAAGAGAUGUCAAUCGAUUCCACAGCUUUCAAGAUGGGUCCUGUUCAUGUGCCGAUUAUUGGUGAAAAAGCACAAGUUUGACAUAAAGUUUCGUACACUGUGUCAAAGGAGAUUUAUGCUUGCUGCUCAUGUUCUCAGCCAACUAGAGAUAGUGAGCUUGAACAAAGCUCUUUUAACUACACAGCCAUGCUAUGCCAACAGAGAAUGAGAUGUUCUGCAAAAUUUUGGGCGGGCAGUUUUCACCGUGGAGACUUGAUUCACAGAAUCCACAUGUAAAUCUUGGACUUCUGUCUAGUUUUCCAGGGAGGAUAUCUAAGCUGUCACGGAUGCUUGGACGCUGAGAAUCACUUCAAAGAUGAUUUUUUGGGUGUAACCAUUCGAUAUCCGGUACUACCGCUGCAUAGGGCCAUUAAAUGGGAAGCGCUCCCUACCCGGAGUUUCUCCAUUUUCAGGACUAAAACUCGAGACCUCUACUUUGAAUUUUAGUGAAGGUAAAUAAAGAUAUUAAUUGUUCGUCUCAACUGUAAUAGGGUGCCUAGGAGGUCAUAUAAUGGUUUAGCAACUUUUGAAUAAAGCUGUUACUUCCCUUUUGAGACAGAUAAUUUGACAAUAUAGCAUGGGAAGGUGUAUCUAAGAAGUAGACAUGAGAAAGGGCUGCCUUCUAGUGCUUGAGAAAGAAGCAUCUUUCCAUACAUCAUACUGCCAAGCCAAAGUGACAGGCUUAUCCUGCUAACAACUCAAUUUACCAGGUUUUUCCUCCUCCGCGAUAAUGCAGGAGGAAAGGUGUAUAGAAGAAACAGACUUGCUAGAAAAAAAAAGAAAAAUUUCUGUUCUCCGAAAUUGCACAAAUGAAGAGAGAUCACUUUACAGUAGCAGGAACAUGUUGUCGCUGUGCAGUCAUUUAUGAUAUUCAUCAUCUUGCAGAAAUGCAGGAUAAGGUUGCGUACAAUAGACCCUUGUGGUCCGGCCCUUUCCCGGACCCGCACCGGACUGCCCUUUUUUAUCAUCUGUUCAAAUAAAAUCUUUAUAACCUUACAUCACAUGGAGCACACAAUGUUGGUCAUGAUAUCAAUAUGUCCAUGAAAAUAAAUAGAAACAUAGAGAUAGCAAAUCUACACUUCUCUGAUCUCCCCUAUCUCUCCGGAACAUGUUAUUGCUAA